rnacentral:rRNA from 1 species
AUUCUUCGGCAAUGCUGACGAGUGGCGCACGGGUGAGUAACGCGUACGGAAUCUGCCCUAGUCAGGGGGAAAGUCGCUGGAAACGGCGAAUAAUCCCGCAUAAGACCACAGAUAGGCAUCUAUUAGUGGUUAAAGUUACGGCGGACUAGGAUGAUCGUGCGUACUAUUAGCUAGAUGGUAAGGUAAUGGCUUACCAUGGCGACGAUAGUUAGGGGGCGUGAGAGCGUGGUCCCCCACACGGGUACUAAGACACGGACCCGACUCCUACGGGAGGCAGCAGUAAGGAAUAUUGGUCAAUGGAGGGAACUCUGAACCAGCCAUUCCGCGUGCGGGAAGAAGGCUCUAUGGGUUGUAAACCGCUUUUAUCAAGGAAGAAAGGUGUCCAUUUAUGGAUAAUUUGACGGUACUUGAGGAAUAAGCACCGGCUAACUCCGUGCCAGCAGCCGCGGUAAUACGGAGGGUGCAAGCGUUAUCCGGAAUCACUGGGUUUAAAGGGUACGCAGGCGGUGAAAUA